rnacentral:rRNA from 1 species
GAUGAACGCUGGCGGCGUGCCUAAUACAUGCAAGUCGAGCGAACAGACGAGGAGCUUGCUCCUCUGACGUUAGCGGCGGACGGGUGAGUAACACGUGGAUAACCUACCUAUAAGACUGGGAUAACUUCGGGAAACCGGAGCUAAUACCGGAUAAUAUAUUGAACCGCAUGGUUCAAUAGUGAAAGACGGUUUUGCUGUCCCUUAUAGAUGGAUCCGCGCCGCAUUAGCUAGUUGGUAAGGUAACGGCUUACCAAGGCGACGAUGCGUAGCCGACCUGAGAGGGUGAUCAGCCACACUGGAACUGAGACACGGUCCAGACUCCUACGGGAGGCAGCAGUAGGGAAUCUUCCGCAAUGGGCGAAAGCCUGACGGAGCAACGCCGCGUGAGUGAUGAAGGUCUUCGGAUCGUAAAACUCUGUUAUUAGGGAAGAACAAAUGUGUAAGUAACUAUGCACGUCUUGACGGUACCUAAUCAGAAAGCCACGGCUAACUACAUG